CCUACGGCGGCAGCAGUGGGGAAUAUUGGACAAUGGGCGAAAGCCUGAUCCAGCCAUGCCGCGUGUGUGAAGAAGGCCUUCGGGUUGUAAAGCACUUUCAGUGGGGAAGAAGGCCUUGGGGCUAAUACCCUCGAGGAAGGACAUCACCCACAGAAGAAGCACCGGCUAACUCCGUGCCAGCAGCCGCGGUAAUACGGAGGGUGCGAGCGUUAAUCGGAAUUACUGGGCGUAAAGCGCGCGUAGGCGGUCUGAUAAGCCGGUUGUGAAAGCCCCGGGCUCAACCUGGGAACGGCAUCCGGAACUGUCAGGCUAGAGUGCAGGAGAGGAAGGUAGAAUUCCCGGUGUAGCGGUGAAAUGCGUAGAGAUCGGGAGGAAUACCAGUGGCGAAGGCGGCCUUCUGGACUGACACUGACGCUGAGGUGCGAAAGCGUGGGUAGCAAACAGGAUUAGAUACCCUAGUAGUC
rnacentral:rRNA from 1 species